GACGAACGCUGGCGGCGUGCCUAAUACAUGCAAGUCGAGCGCAGGAAAUCGACGGAACCCUUCGGGGGGAAGUCGACGGAAUGAGCGGCGGACGGGUGAGUAACACGUAAAGAACCUGCCCUCAGGUCUGGGAUAACCACGAGAAAUCGGGGCUAAUACCGGAUGGCUCAUCGGACCGCAUGGUCCGAGGAUGAAAGGCGCUUCGGCGUCGCCUGGGGAUGGCUUUGCGGUGCAUUAGCUAGUUGGUGGGGUAAUGGCCCACCAAGGCGACGAUGCAUAGACGACCUGAGAGGGUGAUCGGCCACACUGGGACUGGGACACGGCCCAGACUCCAACGGGAGGCAGCAGUAGGGAAUCUUCCACAAUGGACGAAAGUCUGAUGGAGCAACGCCGCGUGAACGAUGAAGGCCUUCGGGUCGUAAAGUUCUGUUGUAAGGGAAGGACAAGUGCCGCAGGCAAUGGCGGCACCUUGACGGUACCUUGCGAGAAAGCCACGGCUAACUACGUGCCAGCCGCCGCCGUAACAC
rnacentral:rRNA from 1 species